UCACCUCUGCAGGCUGCCACCCCCCAGGCUGGGCUGGGCUGGGAUGUAUCUCUUCAAAAGGCUCACCCUCAGGCACCACUAGGAGC
rnacentral:pre_miRNA from 1 species